GACGAACGCUGGCGGCGUGCUUAACACAUGCAAGUCGAACGGAAAGGCCCUGCUUUUGUGGGGUGCUCGAGUGGCGAACGGGUGAGUAACACGUGAGUAACCUGCCCUUGACUUUGGGAUAACUUCAGGAAACUGGGGCUAAUACCGGAGAGGAGCUCCUGCUGCAUGGUGGGGGUUGGAAAGUUUCGGCGGUUGGGGAUGGACUCGCGGCUUAUGAGCUUGUUGGUGGGGUAGUGGCUUACCAAGGCUUUGACGGAUAGCCGGCCUGGGAGGGUGACCGGGCACAAUGGGACUGAGAUACGGCGCAGAGUGCAACGGGGGGCAGCAGUGGAGAAUAUUGUACAACGGGCGGAAGCGUGUGACAGCAACGCCGCGUUCGGGAUGACGGCCUUCGGGGUAGAAACCGCUGUCGCCUGUGACGAAGCGGGAGUGACGGUAAUGGGUAAAGAAGCACCGGCUAACUACGUG
rnacentral:rRNA from 1 species